CACAUUUUCCACUUCGUAUAAAUGUAUGGAACUCUAUGAGUGCAAGUUUGGCUUAUUUUGCUCUGUUUAUUAGAGUUUCACUUAGCUUCAGGAAAAAUGAGUCAUCAUGUCUGGUACAAGCUGUGCCCUCCUAUUGCUAAAUUAACCUAGUUAGUGUUAAAGGGACACUAUAGUCACCAGAACAACUACAGCUUAAUGUAGUUGUUCCGGCGAGUAUAGUCAGUCCCUGCAGGCAUUUUCAUGUAAACACUGCCUUUUCUCUGCAAAGGCAGUGUUUAUAUUACUGCUUAGGGACACCUUCAGUGGCAGUCACUCAGACGGUCACUCGGUCACUCAGUGAUGCACAACGCACAGCAUGG